AUGGAGGUGCUAAUUAGUUUAUGCCUCGUAGCCCUUGCCACGGUGUUGGUCUGUUGGCUUCUCAACCUCAAAGCUUCCUCUGGUGGUCGAAGCACGGCCAAGCAGGAGCUGCCUCCCGGACCAUGGACGCUUCCGAUCAUCGGCAGCCUCCACCACGUCCUCAGCCUCCUCCCACACCGCACCAUUACAAAGCUGUCUCGCCGGCAUGGGCCAAUGAUGCUCCUGAAGCUAGGGGAGGUCUCCACGGUGAUCGUUUCCAGCGCCGAGGGGGCAGCGCUGGUGAUGAAGACCAACGACCUCGCGCUCGCAGGGCGGCCCUGUAGCGUGACGCUGGACAUCGCUGGCCGUGGCGGGAAGGGCCUCCUCUUCGCCCCCUACGGCGACCACUGGCGCCAGAUGCGCAAGCUGUGUGUCGUGGAGCUCCUCAGCUCCAAGCAGGUCAAACGCAUGGAGGGCAUCCGGGCCAAGGAGGUCGGCGACCUCGUCCGCUCCAUCACCGCCUCUGCCGGUGCUACCGUCAACAUCAGCGAGAUGGUGGCCGCGCUCAGCAAUGACGUCAUCUCGCAGGCAGUUUUCGGGGGCAAGUUCCCACAGCAGGAAGAGUACCUCCGCGAGUUGGACGAGGUGUUCCGCCUGCUGGGUGGCUUCUGCCUCGUCGACCUCUUCCCGUCAUCACCGUUAUCACGGUGGCUGAGCAAUGGCGAGCGCCACAUGAAGAGGAGCUGUGGCCGCAUCCAUCAGAUAAUCGCUGAGAUUAUCAAGGGGCGCAAAGAGUCGCUGGAUCCCGGCAAUGGUGCCACCGACGACGAGGAUCUCCUUGACGUGCUGCUCAGGCUGCAGGAGGAGGCCUCGUUGGCAUUCCCUCUAACGACAGACACUAUAGGCGCCGUCUUGUUUGACAUGUUUGCAGCGGGCACAGAAAGCACAUCCACCGUUUUGGAGUGGACUAUGUCGGAACUGGUGAUUCAUCCGGAAGCUAUGGCUAAGGCACAACAAGAGGUUCGGCAGGUCCUAGGUGAAAAAAGGGCUAUAAUUACUAACAGAGACCUUGGAGAACUCCACUACCUACGGAUGGUCAUCAAAGAAGUUCUUAGAUUGCAUCCACCUGGUCCGUUAGUCCCCCGCCAUUCCAGAGAGGACUGUAAGAUGAUGGGUUACAACAUUCUCAAAGGCACCAAUGUGUAUGUUAAUGUGUUUGGAAUUUCUAGAGAUCCAACAUACUGGAAAAACCCUGAAGAGUUUAAGCCGGAGAGAUUUGAAAACAACAACAUAGAUUACAAUGGGACAUACUUUGAAUACACCCCCUUUGGAUCUGGGCGACGGCUGUGCCCAGGAAUGUUGUUCAGCACGUCGACCUUGGACAUCGUAUUGGCCAACCUAUUAUAUCACUUCAACUGGAUACUUCCUGAUGGAGCUUCACUUGACAUGUCCGAGAAAUUCGGGCUGACGGUAAGCAAAAAGUAUGACCUGAAACUCAGAGCCGUUCCACACAUGUGGAACUAUGAAGUUCAGUCGAAGUGA
rnacentral:rRNA from 1 species